rnacentral:tRNA from 1 species
GCCUCGGUCGUCUAAGUUGGUAAGACAUCGCACUUGUAAUGCGACAACGUAGGUUCGACUCCCACCGGAGGCUC